rnacentral:lncRNA from 10 species
CAUGGAAGAGGGGCCCAGGAUGCUCAGGAACUGUGCACUCAGGGACUGAGGAAAGGUGCCAGGUACUUGACACCAGUUAACCUGUGUAAGCACCACGAUCAGCCAAGAAGCAGAUGUGAUUAUCUUCACUUUAUAGGAUUCUAUCAAGGAUCCAUGCUGCCAUCAGUGACUUUGCUCCUCUGAUUCCUUCCACCCUGAAAAUGCUUUUCCUCCAUUUCUACACACUGUAACUCUCAAUCAAGGAUCUCAAGGAACCCCUCCCACCGAAUAUGGAAUCUCUGCGAAUCUUCCCUGCAUCAUGAGCAUAACUGCUCCAAGUCCGGCAUCCCAGAUGUCUUCCUCUUGCUAGACGUGUCCUCCCCCUGCAGCUGUAUGUGACACACCCAGAGGGGAUUCCUCAGCAUCACCCAGAGGUUGAAGCCUCUGUCAGGAACCAUUCUGUGCUACCUUUCAUUCCCACCCCCAUGCCCCCUCUCCACUCUUCUCCCUGCCCCUGCUCCAGGAGGAAGGAUGUUGUGUCUAUGACAUUCACAAACCCCUGUUUUCCAACAUCUAGUUGGGUUCAACCAACAAAGAGCUAUGGCAGAAAAUUUGCAGGAACCAAAAGAGUGAGGCUCCCUUCCUGGGGAGUCUCCCUGGACUGGCUCUGCUCUUUGAGAAAAAUGUUUGUGAGUUUAAUGUGAAACCCUGAAUGGUUUUAGAAAGAUAAGUGUGCUAGUUGAAGGCUGGUCAGGAAAAGGAUGGUCAACUCUAAUUAGAAUAAGAAAGGGACAAUUCAAUAAACGGACUAUUAUAGUGAAAGCGAACUAAAUGUGGCCUGAGAAGGACUCCCUACUUCUGUAUUUGAGUCCCUGUGGACUAACCACAACCUAACUUAGUAGGUAGAUGAGAUUGAAAACCUAAUUUAGGAGUAUGUACCUGUAACAAUAGCUGAGUCUCAGCCAAUCCAAGCAGCCAUACUUCAACCACUCAUACACUGCUGAGUGUUCAAACUGUGUUCAAAUAAAGC